rnacentral:rRNA from 1 species
UACGAAGGGGGCUAGCGUUGCUCGGAAUCACUGGGCGUAAAGGGUGCGUAGGCGGGUCUUUAAGUCGGGGGUGAAAGCCCAGGGCUCAACCCUGGAAUUGCCUUCGAUACUGGAUGUCUUGAGUUCGGGAGAGGUGAGUGGAAUGCCGAGUGUAGAGGUGAAAUUCGUAGAUAUUCGGCGGAACACCAGUGGCGAAGGCGACUCACUGGCCCGAUACUGACGCUGAUGCGCGAAAGCGUGGGGAGCAAACAGG